AUGGAAGAUUUACAAGAUUGCAACUCCAAAAGCCUUGUUGCUGUUCCUGGUUCUCUGGUUCUGCACCUCUUCAGGCUGUUAGGUCAGCAGGAUAAUUCCUGGCAGAAGUACGCCUUGGCUUACUUUCUUCUGGUCAGGAAUGAGUACUUCCCGAGGGAGCCAAGGAAACACUCAGCUGUGAAUGUGCAACUUGUUCCCUGCUGUGACAGUUCAGAUUUGGGCAGUAAUGAACUGGAAGUGGAGAAGCAGAAUGCUGUUGUCAAGAGCCAAUCAGGAGGUGAUUCCAGUUCCAAUGGAUCAAAUGAUUGUUUCCUUCCAGGCCUUCAUGAUGAUCUGGCUCAAGACUGCCUUGCCUGGACAAGCAGAUCAGACUAUCCCUCACUCUCUUGUCUGAACAAGAAAUUCAAUACAUUGGUUAACGGUGGAUAUCUGUACAAGCUGCGGAGGAAAUAUGGCAUUGUUGAGCAUUGGGUGUAUCUGGCCUGUAGCGCUAUGCCCUGGGAAGCAUUCGAUCCGUCGCGAAACCGAUGGAUGAGGCUCCCAAGAAUGCCAUGUGAUGACUGCUUCUCCUGUGCGGACAAGGAGUCACUUGCUGUUGGGACACAGCUGCUUGUCUUUGGCCGAGAAUAUACAGGCCUUGCUAUUUGGAUGUACAAUUUACUGACACGCCAUUGGUCUCGCUGCACUCCGAUGAAUUUUCCUCGCUGUCUGUUUGCCUCAGGAAGUUCUGGUGAGAUUGCCAUUGUUGCUGGUGGGUGUGAUAGGAACGGGCAGGUGCUGAGAUCUGCGGAGCUGUACAAUUCAGAGGCUGGCCAGUGGGAGACCUUGCCAGACAUGAACUUGCCCAGGAGACUCUCCUCAGGUUUCUUCAUGGAUGGCAAGUUCUAUGUCAUCGGGGGUGUGACGAGUGAGAGGCAUUCUCUGACUUGUGGAGAGGAAUACGAUCUCGACACCAGGACAUGGAGAAGAAUACAGGACAUGUACCCCGGAGGAACCAGCGCCUCCCAGUCGCCUCCGCUCAUCGCCGUUGUAAAUAACCAGCUCUACGCGGCUGACCAGUCCACAAACGUGGUGAAGAAGUACGACAAGGCAAGCAACACAUGGAACAUAGUGAAGCCCUUGCCCGUCAGAGCGGACUCUUCCAACGGCUGGGGCCUGGCUUUCAAGGGAUGCGGCGAUAGACUGCUGGUCAUCGGCGGCCACAGAGGACCUCGCGGCGAGGUGAUACUGCUGCAUUCCUGGUGCCCGGAAGAUGGGAACGGCGCCGCCUCCGACUCCGACUGGGAGGUGCUCUCGGUGAAGGAGCGCGCCGGCGUCUUCGUCUACAACUGUGCAAUAACGGGGUGCUGA
rnacentral:rRNA from 1 species